GGUUAAGCGACUAAGCGUACACGGUGGAUGCCCUGGCAGUCAGAGGCGAUGAAGGACGUGCUAAUCUGCGAUAAGCGUCGGUAAGGUGAUAUGAACCGUUAUAACCGGCGAUUUCCGAAUGGGGAAACCCAGUGUGUUUCGACACACUAUCAUUAACUGAAUCCAUAGGUUAAUGAGGCGAACCGGGGGAACUGAAACAUCUAAGUACCCCGAGGAAAAGAAAUCAACCGAGAUUCCCCCAGUAGCGGCGAGCGAACGGGGAGCAGCCCAGAGCCUGAAUCAGUGUGUGUGUUAGUGGAAGCGUCUGGAAAGGCGCGCGAUACAGGGUGACAGCCCCGUACACAAAAAUGCACAUGCUGUGAGCUCGAUGAGUAGGGCGGGACACGUGGUAUCCUGUCUGAAUAUGGGGGGACCAUCCUCCAAGGCUAAAUACUCCUGACUGACCGAUAGUGAACCAGUACCGUGAGGGAAAGGCGAAAAGAACCCCGGCGAGGGGAGUGAAAAAGAACCUGAAACCGUGUACGUACAAGCAGUGGGAGCACGCUUAGGCGUGUGACUGCGUACCUUUUGUAUAAUGGGUCAGCGACUUAUAUUCUGUAGCAAGGUUAACCGAAUAGGGGAGCCGAAGGGAAACCGAGUCUUAACUGGGCGUUAAGUUGCAGGGUAUAGACCCGAAACCCGGUGAUCUAGCCAUGGGCAGGUUGAAGGUUGGGUAACACUAACUGGAGGACCGAACCGACUAAUGUUGAAAAAUUAGCGGAUGACUUGUGGCUGGGGGUGAAAGGCCAAUCAAACCGGGAGAUAGCUGGUUCUCCCCGAAAGCUAUUUAGGUAGCGCCUCGUGAAUUCAUCUCCGGGGGUAGAGCACUGUUUCGGCAAGGGGGUCAUCCCGACUUACCAACCCGAUGCAAACUGCGAAUACCGGAGAAUGUUAUCACGGGAGACACACGGCGGGUGCUAACGUCCGUCGUGAAGAGGGAAACAACCCAGACCGCCAGCUAAGGUCCCAAAGUCAUGGUUAAGUGGGAAACGAUGUGGGAAGGCCCAGACAGCCAGGAUGUUGGCUUAGAAGCAGCCAUCAUUUAAAGAAAGCGUAAUAGCUCACUGGUCGAGUCGGCCUGCGCGGAAGAUGUAACGGGGCUAAACCAUGCACCGAAGCUGCGGCAGCGACACUAUGUGUUGUUGGGUAGGGGAGCGUUCUGUAAGCCUGUGAAGGUGUACUGUGAGGUAUGCUGGAGGUAUCAGAAGUGCGAAUGCUGACAUAAGUAACGAUAAAGCGGGUGAAAAGCCCGCUCGCCGGAAGACCAAGGGUUCCUGUCCAACGUUAAUCGGGGCAGGGUGAGUCGACCCCUAAGGCGAGGCCGAAAGGCGUAGUCGAUGGGAAACAGGUUAAUAUUCCUGUACUUGGUGUUACUGCGAAGGGGGGACGGAGAAGGCUAUGUUGGCCGGGCGACGGUUGUCCCGGUUUAAGCGUGUAGGCUGGUUUUCCAGGCAAAUCCGGAAAAUCAAGGCUGAGGCGUGAUGACGAGGCACUACGGUGCUGAAGCAACAAAUGCCCUGCUUCCAGGAAAAGCCUCUAAGCAUCAGGUAACAUCAAAUCGUACCCCAAACCGACACAGGUGGUCAGGUAGAGAAUACCAAGGCGCUUGAGAGAACUCGGGUGAAGGAACUAGGCAAAAUGGUGCCGUAACUUCGGGAGAAGGCACGCUGAUAUGUAGGUGAAGUCCCUCGCGGAUGGAGCUGAAAUCAGUCGAAGAUACCAGCUGGCUGCAACUGUUUAUUAAAAACACAGCACUGUGCAAACACGAAAGUGGACGUAUACGGUGUGACGCCUGCCCGGUGCCGGAAGGUUAAUUGAUGGGGUUAGCGCAAGCGAAGCUCUUGAUCGAAGCCCCGGUAAACGGCGGCCGUAACUAUAACGGUCCUAAGGUAGCGAAAUUCCUUGUCGGGUAAGUUCCGACCUGCACGAAUGGCGUAAUGAUGGCCAGGCUGUCUCCACCCGAGACUCAGUGAAAUUGAACUCGCUGUGAAGAUGCAGUGUACCCGCGGCAAGACGGAAAGACCCCGUGAACCUUUACUAUAGCUUGACACUGAACAUUGAGCCUUGAUGUGUAGGAUAGGUGGGAGGCUUUGAAGUGUGGACGCCAGUCUGCAUGGAGCCGACCUUGAAAUACCACCCUUUAAUGUUUGAUGUUCUAACGUGGACCCGUAAUCCGGGUUGCGGACAGUGUCUGGUGGGUAGUUUGACUGGGGCGGUCUCCUCCUAAAGAGUAACGGAGGAGCACGAAGGUUGGCUAAUCCUGGUCGGACAUCAGGAGGUUAGUGCAAUGGCAUAAGCCAGCUUGACUGCGAGCGUGACGGCGCGAGCAGGUGCGAAAGCAGGUCAUAGUGAUCCGGUGGUUCUGAAUGGAAGGGCCAUCGCUCAACGGAUAAAAGGUACUCCGGGGAUAACAGGCUGAUACCGCCCAAGAGUUCAUAUCGACGGCGGUGUUUGGCACCUCGAUGUCGGCUCAUCACAUCCUGGGGCUGAAGUAGGUCCCAAGGGUAUGGCUGUUCGCCAUUUAAAGUGGUACGCGAGCUGGGUUUAGAACGUCGUGAGACAGUUCGGUCCCUAUCUGCCGUGGGCGCUGGAGAACUGAGGGGGGCUGCUCCUAGUACGAGAGGACCGGAGUGGACGCAUCACUGGUGUUCGGGUUGUCAUGCCAAUGGCACUGCCCGGUAGCUAAAUGCGGAAGAGAUAAGUGCUGAAAGCAUCUAAGCACGAAACUUGCCCCGAGAUGAGUUCUCCCUGACCCUUUAAGGGUCCUGAAGGAACGUUGAAGACGACGACGUUGAUAGGCCGGGUGUGUAAGCGCAGCGAUGCGUUGAGCUAACCGGUACUAAUGAACCGUGAGGCUUAACCUU
rnacentral:rRNA from 1 species